GCCGGGAUGUUGGAAUCGGUAGACAAUGGGGACUUAAAAUCCCUUGGGCCGUAGGCCCGUGCGGGUUCGACUCCCGCUCCCGGCACCA
rnacentral:tRNA from 1 species